ACUCCUACGGGAGGCAGCAGUAGGGAAUCUUCCGCAAUGGACGAAAGUCUGACGGAGCAACGCCGCGUGAGUGAUGAAGGUUUUCGGAUCGUAAAACUCUGUGUUAGGGAAGAACAAGUACCGGAGUAACUGCCG
rnacentral:rRNA from 1 species